rfam:Gossypium raimondii Chr12_contig_701, whole genome shotgun sequence.
AAUAGGAGAAUGACAAAUUAAAUUUUUACUCUUGAUUUUGGCUUUUUACUCCUGAAAAAAAAUUCAAAUCUAACUAAAAAUGCUAAAAAUCAAGAGGAAAAAUCUAAUUUGUCAUUUUCAUAUU